CUAACCUAGCGGCGGACGGGUGAGUAAUGCUUAGGAAUCUGCCUAUUAGUGGGGGACAACGUUUCGAAAGGAACGCUAAUACCGCAUACGCCCUACGGGGAAGCAGGGGAUCUUCGGACCUUGCGCUAAUAGAUGAGCCUAAGCCAGAUUAGCUAGUUGGUGGGGUAAAGGCCUACCAAGGCGACGAUCUGUAGCGGGUCUGAGAGGAUGAUCCGCCACACUGGGACUGAGACACGGCCCAG
rnacentral:rRNA from 1 species